GCCAUACCAGCUUGUCACAUCUCAUCAGAUCUCAGAAUCUAAGCAGGGCUGAGCCUGGUUAGUACUUGGAUGGGAGACUGCUGGGAAUACUAGGUGC
rnacentral:rRNA from 1 species